GAUCCGGAGAAGCACAGGACAACAACCUACCACCACUGCCAUUGCCCUUCCAUUUCGGCUGCGGCGGCACAGGGGGGAGGAGGCAGGCAGGCGGAGGCCGGCGCAGAGGUGAACUAGUUCUGGUCUCCGACUCCUCAGGUGGCGGCAGCGGCGGCGGCGGCGGCAGCAGCAGCCAUGUCCGCGCACCUUCGCCUCCUCUCCGCCGCCCACUCCAUCCCCACCCCCGCACCCACCCGCGCGCCCACUUCCCUCCACCGCCUCCGCCAACGCCUCCCUGCUCCUCCUCCCGCGGCCCGCCUCAGGCUGCUCCGGCCGCCGCGGCUCGAGGAGAGCCCGCGCCUCUCCAGCGCCGCACGCUGCCGCUGCGCCGGCUCGGCGGUCGCCGAGGACGGCGGCGAGCAGGCGGCGGCGGGGAUAUGGGAGCAGGUGCGGGACAUCGUCGUGUUCGCAGGCCCCGCGCUGGGGCUCUGGAUCUGCGGCCCGCUCAUGAGCCUCAUCGACACCAUGGUCAUCGGCCAGACCUCCGCCCUCCAGCUCGCCGCACUAGGGCCUGGGACAGUGUUCUGCGACUACCUAAGCUACAUAUUCAUGUUCCUUUCGGUUGCAACCUCUAACAUGGUGGCCACCUCCUUAGCUAAAAAGGACGAAGACCUUGCACAACAUCAAGUAUCUAUGUUGCUGUUUAUUGCUCUUACGUGUGGCAUAGGAAUGUUUUUGUUCACCAAGGUUUUUGGUACUCAAGCAUUGACUGCUUUUGCUGGAUCAGGGAAUUAUGAAAUUAUCUCUUCGGCCAAUACAUAUGCACAGAUAAGAGGCUUUGCAUGGCCUGCAGUUCUUGUGGGCUUAGUUGCUCAAAGUGCCAGUCUGGGCAUGAAGGAUUCUUGGGGUCCUUUGAAAGCAUUGGCAGCUGCUACUGUGGUAAAUGGUGUUGGUGAUAUAUUUCUUUGCUCUGUUUGUGGUUUUGGAAUUGCUGGUGCGGCCUGGGCAACUAUGGUUUCACAGGUUAUUGCAGCGUUCAUGAUGAUGCAGAAUCUAAACAAUAAGGGUUUUCGAGCUUUCUCAUUUACGAUUCCAUCAGCGAGAGAGCUGCUGCAGAUAUUUGAAAUUGCAGCUCCUGUUUUCGUGACAAUGACAUCCAAGGUAGCAUUUUAUGCAUUGCUCACAUAUUCAGCGACUUCUAUGGGAGCAGUAACUCUUGCAGCGCAUCAGGUUAUGAUUAACAUCUUAUGCAUGUGUACUGUUUGGGGUGAGCCUUUGUCACAAACUGCACAGUCAUUCAUGCCGGAGCUGAUAUAUGGUGCUAAUCGUAAUUUGAUCAAGGCAAGGAUGCUAUUGAAGUCACUUGUGAUCAUUGGAGUGAUUACUGGAGCGGUUUUGGGGGCAGUAGGGACACUUGUUCCAUGGCUUUUCCCUAGUCUCUUUACCAAUGACAGAAUGGUCAUCCAACAGAGUACUGGCUCCAUAUUUCAGUGUGUUGCUGGUGACUCCUUCAGUACACUCCCUUGAAGGAACAUUAUUGGCUGGAAGGGAUCUGCGAUAUUUGAGUCAAUCAAUGGGUGUAUGCUUUUGCAUUGGAACCCUUCUAUUGAUGGUUCUCCGCAACAAAUUUGGUAGCUUGCCAGGAUGCUGGUGGAUACUCGUCUUGUUUCAGUGGAGUCGGUUUGCAAGUGGUUUACAACGGCUCAUUUCUCCAACGGGCAUGUUGUACAAUGAAAAUUUUAACCAGGCUGACUAUAUCAAAACGAAGGCCACGUGAAGAUCGUACAUACCGUUUGAUGAGGUGAGAUCAUGAUGAAGAUACAAAAGGAGAUACACAAACCUGGAAAGAUCAUAGAGCUGCCAUUCUUUGUGCCAUAAGUUGGCCACUUGGCCUAGCUCUGUGUUGGGGGAGAUGUGCAGUAGUGGGCGGUAUUAUUUGGAAGCAAGGUUUGAUACUUAGCCUAGGAGAUUAGGGCCAUGAAAAGGCCAGUUGGCUAGGGUAGAAACCAUCCUCUUGUAUCUUUUUCCCUCGGAAAAUAGGAAUUAUACGUGAUAGGUUCCUGCCUUCCUGGUACCGAGUACGGUAGCGACUACACUGUCAGACACUUGACGCCAUAAGUUUGGAGUUAAGUGAGCUUACAGGGUGCCCUAUUUAUUUUUGUUAAGAAUUACGAGAUGUCUAAUAUCAUGGAAAUUGUUUCAUAAAUCCUGGGAAGUGAGAUUGCAAGAAUGCGUCAUUGGCCUACA